GAUUUGGUGCAGAUGUUAAAGCAGGUCCAACCAUUUCGAUAUCUUCACUUCUUAUCAAUCUUGUUGCUCCUUGUGGUGGUAAAUUGAGUUGGUGUAUCGCAAGCAUUAACUCCCUCAAUUGCUCUUGCAUUUGUGCCAUUGCACUCUUCAUUUCAACAAGUUCUGCCAUGAUAACAUUUAGAAGAGAGAAGAUGUCUAAUAUCGCUCAAGAUAAAUAGA
rnacentral:lncRNA from 1 species